UACGUAGGGUGCAAGCGUUGUCCGGAAUUAUUGGGCGUAAAAGAGCUCGUAGGCGGUUUUGUUGCGUCGGCUGUGAAAUCCCGAGGCUCAACCUCGGGUCUGCAGUCGAUACGAGCAAACUAGAGUGUUGCAGGGGAGACUGGAAUUCCUGGUGUAGCGGUGAAAUGCGCAGAUAUCAGGAGGAACACCGGUGGCGAAGGCGGGUCUCUGGGCCGAUACUGACGCUGAGGAGCGAAAGCGUGGGGAGCGAACAGG
rnacentral:rRNA from 1 species